UUCCUAUCUAUUUCGUCCUCUCUGAAAACACUUCUACCCGAUACAGAUUUCUCCGAUUUAUCUCUGUAUGGUUCGCUUAUCAUUAUUUUCAUUACUGUUUACCUCUUUAAGAGGAGAUAUUGGCUGUGCUUUGAAGAGGCCGAGAAGAACAAAGUGGCGGGAUGCAGAAUUCAAAAAGAAGCUACAAGAGCAACCAAAAGAUGGACGAACGUUCGCCAGGUGAUUGAAAAAAGUGCAGCAAAGCUCUGCAGGGGAUUUGCAAGUAAGCUCUUGCGGGUUUUAAUACAGUUAUGAUAAGCGGAGAGAAAGAAAUUCCAAAACCACUUCUUCUACGUACAAAGGGGGACAAAUAGCAUUGCAAGAGCAUCUAUUGGAUUCUCAAGAAAGAAUUCAAAAACAAGUAGAAUCAUUCAAUGAACUUGAGGUAGUAUAUAUAGUUGCUUACUUUUACUUUUGUUGAGCUAGACUAGAAGGGCAUGUUACAUACGGAAGGGACAUAGAUUUUUGUUUAUUAUGGAGUCCACUACAUACUUUACUUCUUAUUCUCUGCAAGAACCAAUUUUGGAUCUGCCCAAUAAAGUAGCAAGCCAGGCUGAAGCCAAGGGAUUUGGAUUUUGCAUUUA